GGAGCAGUACCCAAGUGGUUGAAGGGACUAGUUUCGAAAACUAGCAGAGGUUAACUGCCUGCGGGAGUUCGAAUCUCCCCUGCUCCG
rnacentral:tRNA from 1 species